CCUACGGGAGGCUGCAGUAGGGAAUCUUCCACAAUGGGCGAAAGCCUGAUGGAGCAACGCCGCGUGGGUGAAGAAGGUCUUCGGAGCGUAAAACCCUGUUGUUAGAGAAGAAAGUGCGUGAGAGUAACUGUUCACGUGUCGACGGUAUCUAACCAGAAAGCCACGGCUAACUACGGGCCAGCAGCCGCGGUAAUACGUAGGUGGCAAGCGUUAUCCGGAUUUAUUGGGCGUACAGGGAACGCAGGCGGUCUUUUAAGUCUGAUGUGAAAGCCUUCGGCUUAACCGGAGUAGUGCAUUGGAAACUGGGAGCCUUGAGUGCAGCAGAGGCGAGUGGAACUCCAUGUGUAGCGGU
rnacentral:rRNA from 1 species